rnacentral:rRNA from 1 species
AUUGAACGCUGGCGGCAGGCCUAACACAUGCAAGUCGGACGGUAGCACAGAGGAGCUUGCUCCUCGGGUGACGAGUGGCGGACGGGUGAGUAAUGUCUGGGGAUCUGCCCGAUAGAGGGGGAUAACCACUGGAAACGGUGGCUAAUACCGCAUAACGUCGCAAGACCAAAGAGGGGGACCUUCGGGCCUCUCACUAUCGGAUGAACCCAGAUGGGAUUAGCUAGUAGGCGGGGUAACGGCCCACCUAGGCGACGAUCCCUAGCUGGUCUGAGAGGAGGGCCAGCCAGACGGGAACUGAGACACGGUCGAGACGCCGACGGGAGGCAGCAGUGGGGAAUAUUGCACAAUGGGCGCAAGCCUGAUGCAGCCAUGCCGCGUGUAUGAAGGGGGCCUUCGGGUUGUAAAGUACUUUCAGCGGGGAGGAAGGCGAUGUGGUUAAUAACCGCAUUGAUUGACGUUACCCGCAGAAGAAGCACCGGCUAACUCCGUGCCAGCCGCCGCAGUAA